rnacentral:rRNA from 1 species
UACGAAGGGGGCUAGCGUUGCUCGGAAUCACUGGGCGUAAAGCGCACGUAGGCGGCUUGUUAAGUCAGGGGUGAAAUCCUGGAGCUCAACUCCAGAACUGCCUUUGAUACUGAAGAUCUUGAGUCCGGGAGAGGUGAGUGGAACUGCGAGUGUAGAGGUGAAAUUCGUAGAUAUUCGCAAGAACACCAGUGGCGAAGGCGGCUCACUGGCCCGGUACUGACGCUGAGGCACGAAAGCGUGGGGAGAAAACAGG